ACGGGAGGCAGCAGUGGGGAAUAUUGCACAAUGGGGGAAACCCUGAUGCAGCGACGCCGCGUGAUUGAAGAAGUAUUUCGGUAUGUAAAGAUCUAUCAGCAAGGAAGAAAAUGACGGUACUUGACUAAGAAGCACCGGCUAAAUACGUGCCAGCAGCCGCGGUAAUACGUAUGGUGCAAGCGUUAUCCGGAUUUACUGGGUGUAAAGGGAGCGUAGACGGCAUAGCAAGCCAGAUGUGAAAUGCGGGGGCUCAACCCCUGAACUGCAUUUGGAACUGUUAAGCUAGAGUAUCGGAGAGGUAAGUGGAAUUCCUAGUGUAGCGGUGAAAUGCGUAGAUAUUAGGAGGAACACCAGUGGCGAAGGCGGCUUACUGGACGAUAACUGACGUUGAGGCUCGAAAGCGUGGGGAGCAAACAGGAUUAGAUACCCUGGUA
rnacentral:rRNA from 1 species